UCUCUUUGCCUCUUUCUCCUUCGUGGAGCUUU
rnacentral:piRNA from 1 species